UACGUAGGCAGCAAGCGUUGUUCGAAGUUACUGGGCGUAAAGAGUGCGUAGGUGGUUCCCUAAGUCUGUUGUGAAAUCUCCCGGCUUAACUGGGAGGGUGCGUUGGAAACUGGGGUGCUUGAGUGUGGGAGAGGUAAGCGGAAUUCCUGGUGUAGCGGUGAAAUGCGUAGAUAUCAGGAGGAACACCGGUGGUGAAGACGGCUUACUGGGCCACGACUGACGCUGAGGCGCGAAAGCGUGGGGAGCAAACAGG
rnacentral:rRNA from 1 species